rnacentral:rRNA from 1 species
UACGUAGGGUGCGAGCGUUAAUCGGAAUUACUGGGCGUAAAGCGUGCGCAGGCGGUUCUGAAAGUCAGCUGUGAAAGCCCCGGGCUUAACCUGGGAAUUGCGGUUGAAACUACAGGGCUAGAAUCUGGCAGAGGGGGGUGGAAUUCCACGUGUAGCAGCGAAAUGCGUAGAGAUGUGGAGGAACACCGAUGGCGAAGGCAGCCCCCUGGGCUGAGAUUGACGCUCAGGCACGAAAGCGUGGGGAGCAAACAGG